AGGGUGAACGCUGGCGGUAUGGAUAAGGCAUGCAAGUCGAGUGGGUUUAGACCCACGGCAGACGAGGUAGUAACACGUAGGAACGUCCCCCGAAGUCGGGCAUAACUCGGCGAAAGCCGAGAUAAUUCCCGAUGGUCUCGCAAGAGUAAAGAUUUAUCGCUUCGGGAGCGGCCUGCGUAAUAUCAGCUAGUUGGUGAGGUAAUGGCUCACCAAGGCUAUGACGUUUAGGGGACCUGAGAGGGUGACCCCCACCGAUGAUACUGAGACACGGAUCAUACCCCUACGGGGGGCUGCAGCCGAGAAUAUUCGACAAUGGACGAAAGUCUGAUCGAGCGAUACCGCGUGGUGGAUGAAGUGCUUCGGCACGUAAACAUCUUUUAUGGAGGAGGAAGUUAUUGACGUUACUCCAUGAAUAAGGGGCUCCUAACUCUGUGCCAGCAGGAGCGGUAAUACAGAGGCCCCGAGCGUUACCCGGAAUUACUGGGCGUAAAGCGUGCGUAGGUGGUCAUGUUAGUCGGUCGUUAAAUAUCCAGGGCUCAACCUUGGAAAUCUGAUCGAAACGGCAUGACUCGAGGGAGUGAGAGGUGAAUGGAACUCUAGGUGUAGGGGUGAAAUCCGUUGAUAUCUAGGGGAACACCGAAAGCGAAGGCAAUUCACUGGCACUUUCCUGACACUCAAACACGAAAGCGUGGGUAGCGAACGGGAUUAGAUACCCCGGUAGUCCACGCCCUAAACGAUGAUGACUGGCUUUUCGGAGUAUCGACCCUCUGGGAGGCGAAGCUAACGCGUUAAGUCAUCCGCC
rnacentral:rRNA from 1 species